UACAGAGGGGGCAAGCGUUGUUCGGAAUUACUGGGCGUAAAGGGCGCGUAGGCGGCCUUCUAAGUCGAACGUGAAAUCCCCGGGCUCAACCCGGGAACUGCGUCCGAUACUGGAAGGCUUGAAUCCGGGAGAGGGAUGCGGAAUUCCAGGUGUAGCGGUGAAAUGCGUAGAUAUCUGGAGGAACACCGGUGGCGACGGCGGCAUCCUGGACCGGCAUUGACGCUGAGGCGCGAAAUCCAGGGGAGCAAACGGG
rnacentral:rRNA from 1 species